rnacentral:rRNA from 1 species
UACGUAGGUCCCGAGCGUUGUCCGGAUUUAUUGGGCGUAAAGCGAGCGCAGGUGGUUUAUUAAGUCUGGUGUAAAAGGCAGUGGCUCAACCAUUGUAUGCAUUGGAAACUGGUAGACUUGAGUGCAGGAGAGGAGAGUGGAAUUCCAUGUGUAGCGGUGAAAUGCGUAGAUAUAUGGAGGAACGCCGGUGGCGAAAGCGGCUCUCUGGCCUGUAACUGACACUGAGGCUCGAAAGCGUGGGUAGCAAACAGG